rnacentral:lncRNA from 1 species
AGUUUACGUAGCUGUGAAAAUGGAUGAAUAAUGCCUGCUUGUGCUGUUGUUAGGGAGGGGACGCCUGCUUGGAGGCGAGUAUGCAGUAGGUGCUCAGUGAGUGGUGAUGAGAUAAAAAGCAAUGCUGCUCAUUUUCUAUAUUUCUCUUUUCAUACUUAUUGAGAUUACAAUGGAGAGAAGGGACACCAGCUUAAAAGAAAACAUUUGCAAAUCUGUUUCUGAUAAAUGGAAAUGAGAGCAACUGUAAACCACAUGAGUCUGUCCAGGACAGAAGAGAAAUGUCCAGUGCUAGGAGACUCAUAAGUUGGAGAGAAACGGCCUGAUUUAUAGAAACUGAGCGAGACUCCGGACCACCUGAUGCAGAGAAACCUGUGACCUGAAAAAGUCUAUUUGUGUUUCCUCUAGGAAUCUCGGCCAAGAAGACAGGGACAAGCUCCCAACUCUGACUACCCCUUUUACAGGGAAAAAAAAAAAAUCCCGUGCCUUCUUUGCAGCAAGUGACAAAUCCUUGUCAUAUCGAGAUGGCUUUUCCUCCUCCUCUUCAAACAUCUUUUAGCAGCAACAGCAGCUCAAGUAACUGGAAUUAUUUCAGAGUUAAAAUGCAGGCUUUGUAGACCCUCUUAGACAGACAGAUUCAAUUUCAAAGGAAACUUCUUUGGCUGGGUACUCAGUGAGUGUUACACAGGGAUUUGGGGAGUUAAUAUUCACUGUUUCUGUUGUUGGAGAAAAGGAAAGCAGAGUUGCUCUUUCUCAUUACUCUCCCCAACGCACAUCUGUUUCCUCUCGUAUCUUGGAAUUAGGAAGAUGGAGGAGACUUAAGUGGUGACCCACCUAGCCUCCUGAUGCAUGCUGGGCUCACUUUAAAACUCCCAAAACAGAUGGCAGUUGAUCACGGUUUUAAAGAUCCCAGCAUAGACUUUCUGCAGCCUCCCUUGUUAGCCACUAUCAGCGCUUAACAUUCUGUCAUCUGAAUAACUCCUUAAAAAUGAUAGCAAUGGUAGUAGAAAUUUAAAAGGAACCUCCCAAAAAACAUGCAAAAGCUUACCACCCCAGUAAAUCACCCGCAACAAUGUCGCAACAGUUUAAAUUUACUGCAGAGAGAGCUGAAGUUUAGGAGACACAGCUUUAUAAUAUUUUUGAGAGAUAGUUGAGUGCAAAUGAGUCCUGUUCCUCUUGCAUCAGGGCCUGCUCCACUGAGUCAUCCUGCCUUCAGAAGCUUCCAGCUAAGUGGCAGGCCCCGGCCAUAGGCUCCCUGUGUCCCCAGCCUCCAGAGAACACACAAUGUUCUCAUCGCCCUUAGCUCCAUUCCAGAAGGGGCCUGCAGUUCUGCAGCUUAUCAGGGGUCUACUGGGAAGUGAGAUGUCACUGUCCCUUUCUGGCCCUGCAUUGUCUGUGAGUGGCUCUCCUGGAUUAAGAGUUGGCAAAGUAUGGCCAGUGGCCAGGACUGGCCUGCUGCCUGUUUUUGUUUAACCCGUGAGCUAAGAAUAGUUUUUACCUAUUUUAAGUAGUUGAAAAAAAAAUCAAGAGAAGAA